GAGGAUAUAGCUCAGUGGUAGAGCACAUGCUUAGCAUGCAGGAGGUCCUGGGUUCAAUCUCCAGUACCUCCA
rnacentral:tRNA from 1 species